rnacentral:rRNA from 1 species
CGCGCAAAGAGUGGCCCAAGUGAGAUUAGCUAGUUGGUGAGGUAAAGGCUCACCAAGGCGACGAUCUCUAGCUGUUCUGAGAGGAAGAUCAGCCACACUGGGACUGAGACACGGCCCAGACUCCUACGGGAGGCAGCAGUGGGGAAUAUUGCACAAUGGGGGGAACCCUGAUGCAGCCAUGCCGCGUGUGUGAAGAAGGCCUUCGGGUUGUAAAGCACUUUCAGUUGCGAGGAAAGCANUAUUUGCUAAUACCAAAUAUUGUGUGACGUUAACAACAGAAGAAGCACCGGCUAACUCCGUGCCAGCAGCCGCGGUAAUACGGAGGGUGCGAGCGUUAAUCGGAAUUACUGGGCGUAAAGCGCACGCAGGCGGAAUGUUAAGCUAGAAGUGAAAGCCCUGGGCUCAACCUGGGAAGGCCUUUUAGAACUGGCAUUCUAGAGUUUUGGAGAGGGGAGUGGAAUUCCACGUGUAGCGGUGAAAUGCGUAGAUAUGUGGAGGAACAUCAGUGGCGAAGGCGACUCUCUGGCCAAAGACUGACGCUCAUGUGCGAAAGUGUGGGUAGCGAACAGGAUUAGAUACCCUGGUAGUCCACACCGUAAACGCUGUCUACUAGCUGUGUGUGAUUNUUAAAUUNGUGCGUAGCGAAGCAAACGCGCUAAGUAGACCGCCUGGGGAGUACGGCCGCGAGGUUAAAACUCAAAUGAAUUGACGGGGGCCCGCACAAGCGGUGGAGCAUGUGGUUUAAUUCGAUGCAACGCGAAGAACCUUACCAGGACUUGACAUCCA